GUCACCGCCGCGUGGCCUGACUACCCACAUGCUGUCCGGAAGACCAGCCGUCAACCCGGACUCUAGAUUAUCUCUCUAAUAAAGAGAGGGUCAACGAUGAGCUGCUGGGCAGCAUGAGCCAAGGAAGAUGGCGCCUCUACAAAACACUUGCCAGCGCCACAACGGGCGCAGCGAACACGGGACCAGCACGCUAACCACUCAGCCACCGCCUCCCCCUAUGUCAGUUCUGGUGGCAGCAGUGCUUGGCUCAUGCAGACCAUAACUAUUCGGCCCACAGCUGCUGUGCUCGGAUUUGGAACACAGGGUUAUAUGGAGAGCGCGUCCCUUACCCCGCCGUGGUGGGAUGGGUGACGCCAGCAGCGCGGCGCGGCGGCCAUGAUGCUGUGCCCAGCUCAUCUAAAACUCACGCCUGCACACGCCUCACUCCCGCCCACCUUCCUGACACUACCAUUUAAUAUUAAGAAAAAACCGAAGCCACCAUCGUCUUCCUGAGAAAAUUCUACGUCAGAAUGGCAUAAAUUUGAAACAAAAAAUAUAAAAAUAGAUAUAUGAAAGUUAAA